rnacentral:rRNA from 1 species
UACGUAGGGGGCUAGCGUUGUCCGGAAUCAUUGGGCGUAAAGCGCGCGUAGGCGGCCAGAUAAGUCCGGUGUGAAAGUCACAGGCUCAACCUGUGAAUGCCGCUGGAAACUGUCUGGCUAGAGUCCGGAAGGGGCGAGUGGAAUUCCUGGUGUAGCGGUGGAAUGCGCAGAUAUCAGGAGGAACACCGGUGGCGAAGGCGGGUCUCUGGGCCACUACUGACGCUGAGAAGCGAAAGCAUGGGGAGCGAACAGG